UAAUACAUGACGUUUUUUAACCCAAACUUUUUAAUAUAUUAAAUAAUAAAUAUAAUAACGAAUUUUUUUAAUUAAUUACCCGAUACAUUAAUAAAAUUUGAAAGGACUAAACAGGUAGCCUAACACCCUGCACUGCGUCCUCCAACGCUUGGGAUGGGCGGUGCCUCAGGGAUCCUAAUCACAUUUACACAAUUUUUCCUAAAAUCUAAAACAAACAGGCUUUUGAAAAAAAAAAAGGAAAAAACUAAAACGUCCUAAAGAAAAUCCUAAGAGACAGAUGACCCUAAUGAACAGUUUGGCCCUCCCUUGAUCGCCAUUUUCCUCUGCAUCAGAAGCUGCUAAGGUGAGAUCCUGGUAUCCUCACAAACUACUGAGAUUCCUCAGAGUCCCAAAAGCCUUGCCUUUCCUCCUGUCUCAGUGCUCAACCCUAUUGUCCAACAAACACUAUCCUCUAUUUCUGUCAUCGUUUAA
rnacentral:lncRNA from 1 species